CCCUAGGACAGAAGAUAAACAGGCAUUAUAAGGUGGGCACAGACACCCCUGAGGGUUUGCCCCUCGUGGAGGGGAAGCUGAGACGGGUCACUCAUCCCAAACAGAAUAUAGAAAUCCUGGCUCCUGGCCAGAGGGGUUGUUGACCCCAGAGUAGACAGAAGGAGGGACUAGAAGUUGGUAGGGACACAAGAACAAGACAGUGGGGGAAGUGCUUGAUCUCCGGAGGAGGGGGGGGAUGAGCUGGCUGCCUGGCUAGGGGACUUCCAACCUCCACCCCCACUUCCUCUCCUUCUCACAAAGGGACACCAAGAGGCAGGGACCCACCCUCGGGCCCCCCUCACACACACUCGCCACAGUCCGUCAGAGAGGUGGCUUUCUUCUAGAAACAGGAUCCAGAGCCCCUGGGGGUGAGGAAAACACUUGCCUCCAUUUUCAUGGAUUCGAUGUUGGUCUGCUUCUGUUCUUUGCCUGUGGAAAGGGAAGAACAAGGGGACUGUCACAGGGGUGGCUCGGAGGAGCCUGGGGGCCUCCUAGCAUUGGUCCAUUCCUGUGUCAGCCAUGCUGGCUCCAAGGACACAGAACAAUGUCUGAUCCAGGUCCCAGACCCAAGAACAUAGGAGUAAGAGAAAAACCGGGGGCUUGGUUUCUGGUCCACGAACCCUGUUCUCAAGUACACAGAACGGGCUUCGAAGCAGCCACCAUCCACUGCUGAACUCCAGCCCUCCUUCAAAGCGAGGAGCAGGAGGGUGAAGAGGCAGAGGAGGGGCUUGAACUGAAGAAGCCAGGCUGUUCACUUCUUUCUUUGAGGUCAUGAAGAGCAGUCUGGAUCCUAACUGCCUCAGUGUGACCCCCUAAUCUCUGCUGUUUCCUCGCCAAUGUUCUAAAAGUCGGAGUGAGCACUGGUGUGCAGCAGGGUUUGGCAUACAGUAGGUGCUCAAUACGUGUCAUGUCAGCAUGUCCCCGCCCCAAGGAACUCCUUCCCUGAAGCACACAUUUCUCUGUUCUUCUGGCUUUUCUCAAAGUUCUGGCCUGGGCACUGAUUCCAGUUCCAAGGAGGGACGUCUGGGCUGGGAGCAGCAGUCCCCACAGCGCCAUCUUUAGGAAGGACUCUGGGCUUCUCUAGGCCCUACAUGAGGGCUGCUACAUCUUCCUUUCUGCUUCUGCCUGCCCGCCCCGCUCCUCUCCCAGUCAGCCCCGCUGCAGCCAGCUGUAUGGUUUUUCCCAGCAAAUGGGGAGAAUUCAGCUGCCUUUCACCUAGGUGCCCGAAUGCUUUUUUUCUGAGGCUGAGAAAAUACAGGGCUUAGGCCCAGAGCAGGAAGGUCACUAAGGUUGGCUCAUGUAGCGUGGUGUGUAAGGGGAGGGGGUACGGAGACAAAGAGCCCCAAACGGAAAAAAACAGCCCCUGCUGCAUCGCCUAGCACAGGAGCGGAAACCACCCGCAGCAGCAUUUACGGCUCUGAAUUUUUUAGCCUGGACGUUUCCCUCUUGUUACCAGACAUGACCUGGGGUUCCUCUCUGCACCUGCCCUGAACACCCCGACAGCCACGUGUGCCUGGUUUCCAUCUACUGUGGUGGGAAGGAGGAAGGGAGGACAGAGCCCCUGCGGGACACCCCAUGGGUGUGGACCCCGUGGGAGCUCCCCACUUUCCACGGUGCUCGCCCUCAGGCCUGCCCUCGGCCUCCCACAUCUGGGGCCAGCCCCUCCCUCAGACCUCGCUGCUCGGCCCAGGACCCAAGCUGCCAGAAGGGGGCGCCUGCUCUGGAUCGCAUUCCACACUACUGCUGAGGCUGCAACAGCUGCAGCGGCCAUGCAACAAGCGGCUGAGGGUGGUGUGUGAGGCCCCCAAGCUGACCCACGCUGUUGGACUAUCUACUGACCCUAAGAGUUUUCUGAAUACCCCCACCACCACACCCAGUGGCUUUUGGUACGUUUACCGGGAGUGAUUUGUUUAUUAGAAUACAAGAAAAUCUGAGCUGAAAAGAUGUGGUUUGAGUUUGCUGAAUGUUUCACACGAGGAAAUUGAGGCCUGGUGAGCAGAUCUAUAAUCUGAUUUCAGGGCUCCUGACUGCCAGGUGCGCUACCACCGUUAUUCCUUGUUUCUUUUGCCAGUCCUCCAGCCCCUAAGGUCUUCCGAAUGGAGACUUCCUGAAACAGUUUCUAAAUGGCUUCUUUCUGGAAUUUUCUCCCCGACAGA